rnacentral:lncRNA from 1 species
CCAUUGUGAAGUGGCACAUGACUGUAUAAUUGUUGUCUUUUCUCUUCUUUUAUUGAAUACCACAGCAGAUGGUGUUGUAAUGUUUACUGCAGACAUCAAAUACGAUUUUGAAAACUCAGGAGGAAAAGGAUAAUCUCUUCUUCUCAUACCUGUUUUUACCCAUUCUGGUGUUCUUCUUUCCCUUCUGAUGUUCCCAUCUAUCUUCUGUAAUCAUUUCCUCUCUGUGUAGAGAACUUUCUUUGGUCAUUCUUUCAUGGUUAAUCUGCUGGCCACAAAUUCUCUAAGUUUUUCUUCGUCUGGGAAUGGCCUUUGUCCCCGCGUCACUCCGAGGGCAUCUCACGGGAUGUGGAUUUCCAGGUGGUGGCUCUCCUCAUCCAGUGCCUGGGAAGCGCGUGUCCCUGCCCCCGGCUUCUGUGUUCCAGCUAUGAAACCUGCUGCUGUUUAGACUUGUGCUUCUCUCGAAGGAAUGAGGGGUUUCUCUCUGGCAGCUUUCAAGGUUUUUUUCUCUGUCUUUAGUUUUCAGAAAUUGUAUUACCAUACAUCCUGGAGCAGAUUUCUCUGGGUUUGUUCUAUUUGGAUUCAGUUGGCUUCUCGCAUCUGUGGGUUUAUGUCUCUUGGCUAACAGGAAGUUUUCAGCCAUCAUUUCCUCACAUCCUUUUUCAGUCCACUUGUUCUCUCCUGCGAUUGCGGAAACUUAGAAAUCUGCUCUUUGGUUAGGGUCCUGCGGGUCUCUGAGGCCUUGACCGUCCUCGGUCCGUUUCUGUGUGUUCAGGCAGAUGAAUUCUGUCUGUCCUCGGGGUCACCGGUUCUGCCCUCUCUCGUCUCCACUCUGCCACUUAGCCCAUCCCCAGAGAUUUUUAUUAUGACUGUAUUUUUUUAGUUGUAUAAUUUCCACUUACUUCUUUUAUGUAGCCUUUAUUUCUUGGCUGAGAUUUUCUAUUUUUUAUUUGUUUACAGAGAGUGUUUGUGGCCUUUUGAAGCGUUUUAGUCAUGGCUGCUUUAACACCCUCAUCAGAUAACUCCAGUAUCCGUUCGUCUCGAUGUGAAGUCUGGCGCUUGUCUUUUCUCCUUCAAGUUGUGAUUUUCCCGAUUCUUAAUAUGAUGAGCGACUUUUCGUUGUAUCCUGGGUGGUUCGUGUGUUUAUUAGGAGGCUUUAAACCAGUGACUCCCCUGGGGAGGGUGGUGUGAGGCCUGGCCAGGGGGUUCUGCUUCCUGCCAGGCCUCCAGCCCCACCCCGGCCCAAACAGCUGGCAAGCGCUUCCUCAUGGCAGGCGGUGGGGUGGAAGAAUUUUUUAGUAUUUGCCUUUUGCCAGAUCUUCUGUUACAUCUUCCCUGCUGUCGGUAGCUCAGCCAGGCAGGCAGGAAAGUAGAAGGAAUGAAGGGCUGUUUACCUGGGUUUUCCAGAGGUUCAGCCCAGGCUAGAGCCCCAGCUUGGCCAUGCUCUGGCCGUGCAAGCCCUGGCAGCUUUCUGUGAAUUGGGGAGGACGUGGGAACAGUGCCUACCUGGUGGACCGUGGGAAGACUGAAAGAGAAAACCAGGCAGGGCACUUAGUGCAGCCGCUGGUGGAGGCAGUGGUUAGAGUUCACUCGCUAGAGGGUCCUUGUGAUAAGAGGGUCCUUAUGAUAAGAGGGUCCUUAUGAUAAGAGGGUCCUUAUCAUGGCCAUUUUCCUUUGAUCCAGAUGUCUUUAAAUAUCAGAAAAAUAACGCUUUUAGUCCCAACCGCCACAUCGGAAUCAGUUCUUAUUCCUUCUGGCUACAAUGUCCAACAUAAGUUGAACAACAUAAUUUGGACAACAGAAGGAAGGGUUGUCAUGCUAGCCGGAGAUGACUUCUAGUUAAGAGGUCUGAGCAUUUUCCACGCACAACCAGUUAUUCUCAACGGAGGGCGGACUCUCCAUACGAAACAAGCAGAGCCCUGGCAGAGACUGCAGGGCAUUUGUAAAACUCAAACACCACGUUGAUCUCACUGCCACGUUCUUUCCAGUUACACGCAGGUCUAACAUGCUGGCAUAAGACAUUGUCUUAAUCAGAACACUUUUAAAGCUUUUUUUUCCCUUUUUUCCAAUUC